rnacentral:sRNA from 1 species
GCCGGGCAUGGUGGCGCGCACCUGUAAUCCCAGCUACUCGGGAGGCUGAGGUAGGAGAAUCGCUUGAACCCAGGAGGCAGAGGUUGCAGUGAGCCAAGAUCAUGCCACUGCACUCCAGCCUGGGUGACACAGUGAGACUCUAUCUCAA